AGUGAUAGAACAAUAAACAAAUGAGGAUUUCACACCCCAGCUACUGAUAAGUGAACUGUUUCCAGACAGGAUGCUAUCAUGGUAGAGGUUGUGGAUGCUGGUUGCUUAACUGUCUGGCCCCCAGGACAGGAUUUUGAGGGUCACCAUUACUUUCUCAGAAUGCCAGCAACCAUCUUUUGUUCACUUAAAACGUGAGCAGGGAGAUUUCAACACCGCAGAACUCAUGGAGCUCCAGGAAAUGUGUAACUUUAGGUCCGGGUGAGUGUGUCUAAAAAUCAGCUGUGCUGUAGAAGGUCUCUAGGAGUUGAAAGAGAUGUGCCACCUCGACCUCUCUAAAGAGUGUCACCAAAUAUUAAUGAAAACUAGGGUUGAUAAGUCACAUUCUUUGUAGUGUUAGGAUUGUGGACUGGUCUAAAGUGCCAAUUUGAAGACACUUUUUUCCUAUCUCUUGGGUGUUCUGGUCUCUGCAUAGAGAUGUGGUUUCAAAUCCCACUCUUGAUGUGACCAUUUUCUUUUAUCUGGAGAAAAUGGCCUCACUUCAAUCUCCUUUGCAGCAAUAGAACCCCAUUUGCUUGGCUUUUCUAUUACAGUAGUUGUGAGAGAAGCUCCAAACCAGGGGGAAACAGUGCCUUUUCUCUCGACCGAUCAAUUUUUGUCUUCCUUCAUUCCAAGCCAUUUUCUCAGAUACAUCCAUAUUUCCCACACCUUUUUGUUCAGCGUUCUUUGCUUUUAUGAAACUUUAGGGUCAUCAUUUAACUGCCAUACAACUGUGCUUAUGAAGUGAAACAAUCUUUUUUGGAUAUUCUUGCAGAAGAGGACUGGAUACAGGGCUGGAUCAGAAUCUUUGUUACCAGAGCUAGAAUUUCUAUUUAAAAAGAGCUAUUUUUCUGCAGCUAUUAGAUUUCCAACGUUGAUUUCAUUUUAUACACAUUUUGAGCAUCUAUUAAGGAUAAAUUGAGCAAAAAUACCGCUUCU